AUACGGAAGGUCCGGGCGUUAUCCGGAUUUAUUGGGUUUAAAGGGAGCGCAGGCGGAGAUGCAAGCGUGAAGUCAAAUUUCGGGGCUCAACCCCGUCUCGCGGCGCGAACUGCGUCCCUUGGUUUCGGGAAGGGGAGGCGGAACUCCUGGGGUCGCGGUGAAAUGCAUAGAUAUCACGAAGAACUCCGAUCGCGAAGGCAGCCUUCCGGCCCGUCAACGACGCUCAUGCUCGAAGGUGCGGGUAUCAAACAGGAUUAGAUACCCUGGUAGUCCGCACAGUAAACGAUGGACACCCGCGGUUUGGCCUGUAUGGCUGAGCCGCCAAGCGAAAGCGUUAAGUGUCCCACCUGGGGAGUACGCCGGCAACGGUGAAACUCAAAGGAAUCGACGGGG
rnacentral:rRNA from 1 species